rnacentral:rRNA from 1 species
UACGUAGAGUGCAAGCGUUGUCCGGAAUUAUUGGGCGUAAAGAGCUCGUAGGCGGUUUGUCGCGUCUGCUGUGAAAACUCGGGGCUUAACCCCGGGCCUGCAGUGGGUACGGGCAGACUAGAGUGCGGUAGGGGAGACUGGAAUUCCUGGUGUAGCGGUGAAAUGCGCAGAUAUCAGGAGGAACACCGGUGGCGAAGGCGGGUCUCUGGGCCGUAACUGACGCUGAGGAGCGAAAGCGUGGGGAGCAAACAGG